AGAGUUUGAUCAUGGCUCAGGACGAACGCUGGCGGCGUGCCUAACACAUGCAAGUCGAACGAGAAGCUAACUUCUGAUUCCUUCGGGAUGAUGAGGUUAGCAGAAAGUGGCGAACGGGUGAGUAACGCGUGGGUAAUCUACCCUGUAAGUGGGGGAUAACCCUCCGAAAGGAGGGCUAAUACCGCAUAAUAUCUUCUCCUCUAAAAGAGGUAAAGAUUAAAGAUGGCCUCUAUACUAUGCUAUCACUUCAGGAUGAGCCUGCGUCCUAUUAGUUAGGUGGUGGGGUAAUGGCCUACCAAGACCACAAUGGGUAGCCGGUCUGAGAGGAUGUACGGCCACACUGGGACUGAGAUACGGCCCAGACUCCUACGGGAGGCAGC
rnacentral:rRNA from 1 species